rnacentral:lncRNA from 1 species
AGGGGUGCUGGAGACGAGGUGAUUGGCCGGCUAUGGGCUGGUGUCGCCGGAAAAUCGAGGAGAAGGCUGCGACGCGACUUCCCGAUCGAGGCAAAGUCACAGCUCCUCCUGCGACACUGCGUUCACCAGAAACGAAAGAAGAGAGGAAAGGAGAGGCCGGAGACGCACGGUGAGGAGGCGACGGCGGCAGGGAGUGGUGGCGGAGGCGCUGGUCUUC